GAUGAACGCUGGCGGCGUGCCUAAUACAUGCAAGUCGAGCGAACAGACCAGGAGCUUGCUCCUCUGACGUUAGCGGCGCACGUGUGAGUAACACGUGUAUCACCUACCUAUAAGACUGGGAUAACUUCGGGAAACCGGAGCUAAUACCAGAUAAUAUAUUGAACCGCAUGGUUCAUUAGUGAAAGACGGUUUUGCUGUCACUUAUAGAUGGAUCCGCGCCGCAUUAGCUAGUUGGUGGGGUAACGGCUUACCAAGGCAACGAUGCGUAGACGACCUGAGAGGAUGGUAGGCCACCCUAGAACGGAAACACGGUCCAGACUCCUACGGGAGGCAGCAGAAGGGAAUGGUCCGCAAUGGGCGAGAGCAUGACGGAGCAACGCCGAGUGAGUGAUAAAGGUCUUCGGAGCGUGAAACUCUGUUAUUAGUGAAGAACAAAUGUGUAAGUAACUAUGCACGUCUUGACGGUACCUAAUCAGAAAGCAACGGCUAACUACGUG
rnacentral:rRNA from 1 species